rnacentral:rRNA from 1 species
UACGUAGGGGGCAAGCGUUAUCCGGAUUUACUGGGUGUAAAGGGUGCGUAGGCGGCUUUGCAAGUCAGAAGUGAAAUCCAUGGGCUUAACCCAUGAACUGCUUUUGAAACUGUAAGGCUUGAGUGAAGUAGAGGUAGGCGGAAUUCCCGGUGUAGCGGUGAAAUGCGUAGAGAUCGGGAGGAACACCAGUGGCGAAGGCGGCCUACUGGGCUUUAACUGACGCUGAAGCACGAAAGCGUGGGUAGCAAACAGG